rnacentral:rRNA from 1 species
UACGGGGGGGGCAAGCGUUGUUCGGAAUUACUGGGCGUAAAGGGCUCGUAGGCGGCCAACUAAGUCGGAUGUGAAAUCCCCAAGCUCAACCUGGGAACUGCAUCCGAUACUGGAUGGCUUGAAUCCGGGAGAGGGAUGCAGUAUUCCAAGUGUAGCGGUGAAAUGCGUAGAUAUCUGGAGGAAUACCGGUGGCGAAGGCGGCAUCCUGGACCGGCAUUGACGCUGAGGAGCGAAAGCCAGGGGAGCAAACGGG